rnacentral:rRNA from 1 species
ACUGCCUGCCCAGUGACAACCGUUAAACGGCCGCGGUAUCCUGACCGUGCAAAGGUAGCAUAAUCACUUGUUCUCUAAAUAAGGACUUGUAUGAAUGGCCACACGAGGGUUUUACUGUCUCUUACUUCUAAUCAGUGAAAUUGACCUUCCCGUGAAGAGGCGGGAAUAUAUUAAUAAGACGAGAAGACCCUAUGGAGCUUUAACUACUUAGCCCAAAGAAACAAAACUUAUUUCUAAGGAAACAACAACAUUCUCUAUGGGUUAACAGCUUUGGUUGGGGUGACCUCGGAGAAUAAAAAAUCCUCCGAGCGAUUUUAAAGACUAGACCCACAAGUCAAAUCACAUAAUCGCUUAUUGAUCCAAAAAAUUGAUCAACGGAACAAGUUACCCUAGGGAUAACAGCGCAAUCCUAUUCAAGAGUCCAUAUCGACAAUAGGGUUUACGACCUCGAUGUUGGAUCAGGACAUCCUGAUGGUGCAACCGCUAUCAAAGGUU